UGCGUAGGCGGGCUAAUAAGUCAGUGGUGAAAUCUCUCGGCUCAACCGGGAAACUGCCAUUGAUACUGUUAGUCUUGAGUUCGGUUGAGGUAGGCGGAAUGUGUAAUGUAGCGGUGAAAUGCUUAGAUAUUACACAGAACACCAAUUGCGUAGGCAGCUUACUAGACCGACACUGACGCUGAGGCACGAAAGCGUGGGGAGCGAACAGGAUUAGAUACCCUGUAGUCC
rnacentral:rRNA from 1 species